rnacentral:lncRNA from 1 species
GACAAUGUUAACAUGUGUAAAUAAACCAAAAGUACUGAAGAGACAAUGACGAUUCUAGAGGUUUAAAAAACCUGUAAAAGAUACAUACAAAUGUAUUUAACGAAUGAUGCAUUGUGAGGAAUGAUAUACGGUAAUGUAUGGACACAUAAUGCAUAUGGAAUAACACUAAAACGCACAUAGCUGUCACGGAAAUAUGUCGAAUUAAUUGGCACACUUUAAGGAUGUUUGCUGCUCAGUUUCAAAAUAAAUACCUUUCCUAAAACUAGUAUGUAUUGAAAAAAAAAAUUGAGGAAUCAAAAAAGCAAAAAAAAUAUAGGGGUCAAUGUGCUUGUUUUUGAGAUAUUAGCCAUUGGAAUUUUGGCGAGAAAAUAUUCUCUCUUGAUUUUUUGAUAGCUUUAUCAUUGACCAGUUAAAGUUCUCAUAUACUAUUAAAAGAUAUAUAAAAUUUUAUAAAACUUUUACAAAUGACUUAUAAGUAUACAGUCAUGUAAAAGAUUUAUCAAAAGAAAAAUGGGGGUUCAUGGGGAAUUUUUUUGUAUGGCAUUCAAAUGGAUAAAAUCAGAGGAUUCCGAAAAUCUGAGAAAAAUUCCAAAACAUGACAAGCAGACAUCCUUAAUACCAACUUCCCGGUAUUGAGCAUUAUUCAUCUAUUUGUCAUAAUCGUCUAUUGGUUCAUUUGUUUGAUCUAUGAAUGAAUCAUUGUUCUUUCAAAUGUUUUGAUUUUGAACGUCAUUGAUGAGUUCAUCUGGUGUAGCAAAUAUUAGCCUGGUAAUUUUUAUGACAUUUUGGAUGAUAUGGACCCCGUUUCAGUCGAUAUAUACGGUUCAUAAUAUAGGAUUCGAAAUGUCACAUGUUUCGACAAUAUUUCAAUUUGACUAUUAUUUAAUUCAAAAAGGGAUAAUUAUCAAUUCGCUUUAGUUUUACCCCUUAUCAAAGGAUUUCACUCAAGGCGGGAGAUAAUUGAACAGCGAGAACAACUGUCCGUUCUUGUAUACCCAAUCAUUGAG